rnacentral:lncRNA from 1 species
CCGCACUUUGUCCCCCUCUCUUGCUCUUCCUCUCGCUAACAUUUUCAAUCUCUCCCUUUCCUCUGGCACAUUUCCCUCACCCCCCAAUUCUGAAAAAGCCCAACCUUGAUCCCAACUCCCCAUCCAACUACCGCCCUAUCUCGCUACUGCCAUUUGCCUCCAAGGUCCUUGAGAGAGUUGUGUACGCCAGAUUGACAGACUUUCUAGAAUCCAACUCUCUGCUUGACCCCUUUCAGUCUGGAUUCCGUGCUGGUCACUCUGUCGAAACUGCUGUUACCAAAGUAUCCAAUGAUUUAAUUGCUGCUAAAUCUCGCGGUCAAUACUCUAUCCUAAUCCUCCUUGAUCUUUCUGCCACCUUUGACACUGUUGAUCAUCAACAGCUUCUUCACAUUCUCCGUAACUUUGGG